AGGAUUAUAGUUUAAGUUCUAAAACAUUUGAUUUGCAAUCAAAAAAAAUUGAAAAAUUCAAUUUAUCUUA
rnacentral:tRNA from 1 species